CUCAGGUCUCUCUCCAAGCUUUCCUCUUCUCCGAAUGCCAAAGCCGAACCUGACCUAAAGUCCGAAGCUUUCCUCUUCUCUCCAAUGGCAACAACCCUCAGUCCUCCACCACAUCAGGUCUCUCUCCAAGCUUCCACCUUUCAUGCUUCUCCUUCUUUGAGCUUUUGAUCUUUUUAGUCCCGUCUCUCUGUCACGCUCUGGUUUGCUUUGAAUUCCACGGCAGAGUUGAAGAGGCCAUGGAGGAUGACAAGGGAGGAGGCAUCGGAGCUGCAAGCAUUGUGGUAAGGCUGAUCGAGAAUGGAGCCAAAGAGGUUGGUGUGGCUGCCUUUGACUUGAGGUUGGCCUCACUUCAUCUUUCGCAAUACAUUGAAACUAAGUUGCUUAUAUUAAAACACGAAGACCUUGCUUCACUUUUAUGACCCUAUGGUGAUAAUUGUUCCCCCAGUCAAAUUGGCACCAAAUUGUAUGGUUGGAGUGUUAAGAGUUGGUGGAUAAAUAUUACACAUCAAACAAGAAGGUGUAGAUGCAUUGUAAGCAUUGUUGUUUACUUUUUUUUUAGUCUACCUUUGUGAUGUAUUUUUUGCACUUUUUUCGUACUUCUCCCAGAUCAUCAUGUCUUGUUAUUGGAGUUCAACAAGUCAGAUAAAGUAUCUAUUUACUGUUGGCUGAU